CUGGCGCAAGCCCGAGUUGUAAUUUGUAGAGGAUGCUUCUGGGUAGCGACCGGUCUAAGUUCCUUGGAACAGGACGUCAUAGAGGGUGAGAAUCCCGUAUGUGACCGGCCCGCACCCUUUACGUAGCUCCUUCGACGAGUCGAGUUGUUUGGGAAUGCAGCUCUAAAUGGGAGGUAAAUUUCUUCUAAAGCUAAAUACCGGCCAGAGACCGAUAGCGCACAAGUAGAGUGAUCGAAAGAUGAAAAGUACUUUGGAAAGAGAGUUAAAAAGCACGUGAAAUUGUUGAAAGGGAAGCGCCUGCAAUCAGACUUCGCGGCAGUGUUCCGCCGGCCUUCUGGCCGGUUCAUUCUCUGUCGCGAGGCCAUCAUCGUCUCGGCCCGCUGGAUAAGACCUUGGGAAUGUAGCUCACCUUCGGGGGAGUGUUAUAGCUCAUGGUGAUGCAGCGAGGCUGGGGCGAGGUCCGCGCUUCGGCAAGGAUGAUGGCGUAAUGGUUGUCGGCGGCCCGUCUUGAAACACGGACCAAGGAGUCUAACAUCUAUGCGAGUGUUCGGGUGUCAAACCCCUACGCGUAAUGAAAGUGAACGGAGGUGGGAACCGCAAGGUGCACCAUCGACCGAUCCUGAUGUCCUCGGAUGGAUUUGAGUAAGAGCAUAGCUGUUGGGACCCGAAAGAUGGUGAACUAUGCCUGAAUAGGGUGAAGCCAGAGGAAACUCUGGUGG
rnacentral:rRNA from 1 species